rnacentral:misc_RNA from 1 species
CGUUAGUGAAACUAUAGCCACACUCUUUAGCUGUACUUAUUCAGCCGCUAGACCUCUGCUCAAGCCAGGCGUUCAACAAUUCUUGUCUAUACAGUAAAUAAUGCAAAGAUAGAGAAUUGUUAAAGCAGCUAAUGAUCAUUUCGAGAAUACCUAUAAUGCGGAUUCACAGUAUAUUUGGAAUUAUNUCGGCGCUUGGCCUAGCGCUUAUCUACACAACAGAGACAGUGUAUUCAUCGUGUGUAGGUUGUCAAGCUUGCGUCCCACGAUGUAUCGGAGAGAAGGGAAACCGAGGUGCACAAGGUUUUCCUGGUUUACGAGGUCCUCAAGGAUAUCCAGGCUACCAAGGAAUGGAAGGUCUACCCGGUACUAGAGGAAUAAAGGGAGAAAAAGGAGGAGCUGGAGCCUUGGGCAAUAAAGGACCAAGGGGAAAAAUGGGCAGGCCAGGCUAUCCAGGAACACCUGGAAUACCUGGUAAUCCUGGAAAUGAAGGACCUCGUGGUGAACCUGGUGAGCCUGGGUGCAAUGGCACAAAGGGAGAAACUGGACCUUUUGGUCCUUCAGGACGACCAGGAGCUGAUGGAGCACCAGGUGCCCCUGGUGCUCCAGGAAUUAAAGGAGAUCCAGGAUUUUCACCACCAACUAGUAAAGGAUUUAAGGGAGAACCUGGACCAAUUGGACCAGAAGGACCUCAGGGAUAUAGAGGAGAUCAAGGUUAUCCUGGAAGAGAUGGACAAAANGGAACCCUGGGACCUAUUGGGCCUAAAGGUGACACAGGGCCACCUGGAUUAAAGGGCACCAUGGGAAUUAUAUCCAAGGGUCCUAAAGGUAAAGCUGGAAAGAAAGGAGAACCAGGUCAAAANGGUUCAUCUGCAAUUGGAUAUGGUUCAGGUUGCAAUGUAACAUUGGCUUUGAAAGGUGCUAAGGGAGAUAAUGGGAGCAGUGGUUCACCGGGUCAACAAGGUGAAAAGGGUGAACCUGGUGCCAGUGGUACUAACGGAGAACAAGGAAUAAAAGGCGAGGCUGGACAAAUAGGUAGNCAAGGAGACCCUGGUGAACAGGGUGAUAAAGGUAGAGUAGGCAAGCCUGGUGAUGAAGGAUUGAAAGGAGAAAGGGGUGCAAAGGGUGACCAGGGACCUCCUGGAGUAGAUGGACAAAGUGGAACAGCAGGUGCCCCUGGAGCCCCUGGACCAAAAGGACAAAAAGGAAGUGAGGGCCCUUCUGGAAUUGGACGCCCAGGUCCUCAAGGUGAUAUUGGUAAAACAGGAGACACUGGUUUCCCUGGUCUUAGAGGCUACCCUGGUGAACGUGGACCAAAAGGCAACACAGGUCCUAUAGGGCCAAAUGGUCCAAAGGGAUCCAAAGGACCUACCGGCCCUCCUGGUCCUCAGGGUGAAACAGGGCUUCCAGGCAGAGAUGGCAUGAAAGGGCCUCUAGGAAAGAAAGGAGAAAGAGGAGAAGCAGGUCCUAGAGGAGAAAAAGGUCAACCAGGUUUAUCANCUGUUGGUAAAAAAGGAAUGGAUGGCCGACCAGGACNACGAGGACCGGCAGGUCCCAAGGGAAACCAAGGUGUUACUGGACCACCAGGAGAAAGUGAUUAUGGNCCACCAGGAGAGAAAGGGGAUAAAGGUGAAGCAGGUGUACAAGGAGAUACGGGUGUAUCAGGUCUGAGAGGUGAAAAGGGUGAAGAAUGUGGAAAUUGUCCCAUACCUGAAAAAGGAGCAAAAGGAGACAGGGGUUCCACCGGUCUGCCUGGAGAUGAUGGUGAUAUUGGUGCUCAAGGUUUCCCUGGUCCGGAAGGCCCACAAGGUGCUGAUGGCACUCCAGGAAGACCUGGAAAACCAGGAAGUCCAGGUGCACAGGGNGGGCCAGGUGUGACUGGCACACCUGGACAAAAAGGUGAAAAAGGAGCAGCGCUUGUAAUUAAAGGACAAAGAGGUUAUCCAGGUGAUCAGGGACUACAAGGUGCCCCAGGAAAUCCUGGUGUACGUGGAGAAAGAGGUGCACAAGGUAUUCCUGGUGAAGAUGGGUUUCCAGGAGACCAAGGUCCAAAGGGUGAAAGAGGAACAGACGGAAGAGAUGGUUUGAAAGGUGUCACUGGACUUCCUGGAGAACAGGGAGAUAAGGGCAUUAAGGGAGAUUAUGUGGUAGGACCUCCUGGUAGGCGUGGNCCCAAGGGCAAUAAAGGAGAUCAGGGCUCAAAGGGAUUGCCAGGCAUUCAGGGAGAGCAAGGUGAAUCUUGGAAAAAAGAUUCCUCCCAAAUCAUAAAGGGACCUACAGGUNAAAAAGGAGAAACAGGAAUUAAAGGUCAACAAGGUAAUAAAGGNGAACCAGGUUCAAAAGGUGAACAAGGUCCACCUGGAAGUAAUGGAGAAUCUGGGCAACCUGGUCAAAGAGGACCAGCAGGACAAAAAGGCGAUAAAGGACCUAAGGGGGAUACUGGUCCUGUGGGAUUAAAAGGUGACCAAGGUGACAGUGGUGAUCCUGGACGUGAUGGACCUCAGGGUANCUCUGGAUUAGAUGGAAAGAAAGGUGACAAGGGAGCUGAUGGUCCAACUGGUCCUCCUGGGUCACCAGGUCCACGUGGCUUUAAAGGAAAUACUGGAAUGAAAGGAGAAAAUGGUGUGAAAGGUAGAGAUGGCUUACCUGGUCAGCCAGGAAAAAUAGGACUCAUUGGAUCAAGAGGCCCACCAGGUGAGAAAGGCANGCCUGGACCCCCUGGACCAAAAGGUAAACAAGGAGAUCCAGGAGCAAAUGGAGCUGGAUCAAUAGGAGAACCAGGCCAACGUGGUCCAAAGGGUGAACCCGGUGUAAAAGGAGACACUGGACGACCUGGUUCUGAUGGUUUUAAUGGUGUUCCUGGAAUCCCUGGUCAAAAAGGAGAUAUUGGUAUUCAAGGACCUACUGGACCUAAAGGACUUNAAGGUCCUCUUGGGCCUUCUGGCGAUCCUGGUGAAGAUGGUAACAUAGGAAAGCAGGGAUUUCCUGGACUACCUGGACCACGUGGCUAUAAAGGCGACACAGGUCAAAAUGGAUCUCCUGGAAAACCAGGCAAAAUUGGAGAUCCAGGNCCAGCUGGACCAAAAGGAGAAUCUGGAAGACAAGGUUUCCCAGGAUUUAGAGGACCGAAGGGUAAUAAAGGAGCACAAGGACCACCAGGGACUGUGGAAGACGGAAACAUUCCUGGACCACAGGGUCCAAAAGGAGAAAAAGGCAGUUCUGGUAUUCCAGGAACAAAUGGUCCUGAGGGAAGUAAAGGGGCAAAUGGUGAGCCUGGUCCAAAAGGCAGCAUUGGCAAUUCAGGCCUACCUGGGCAAAAAGGAGAUACUGGUCUUCCUGGUCGUCCAGGCUCACCUGGNNCCAAAGGNNNUCGUGGAACAGACGGUACAAAGGGAGAUGCUGGACUGAAAGGUGAUGCUGGANAACCAGGUUUCCCUGGUACAAAUGGUCAAAAUGGGGAUCCAGGGAGCCCAGGAAUACCAGGUCAGCCAGGUCCUAAAGGAGAACCAGGAAGAGGAAUACAAGGGCCACCUGGGCCCCAAGGUCCUGNGGGCCCUCCUGGCNCAGAUGGAUUCCNAGGACCCAAGGGUGACAGAGGUGAUGAUGGAGAACCUGGCAUUCCUGGACCAGGUGGAAAGAAAGGAGAAAAAGGUCUUAAGGGUGUCAAGGGAGUCAAGGGCGGUAAAGGUGAGCUCCAAAUAGAACAAGGNCCCCCUGGAGCACCUGGACUACCAGGUCGAGAUGGUCUGGAUGGUGAAAAAGGUCUUAAAGGUGAAAGUGGUAAUCCAGGAAAUCCAGGUCCACUAGGACCUCGAGGAUCACGAGGUGACAAAGGAGAUCAAGGAUCCCGUGGAUACACGGGUUCACAGGGUGGUCGAGGUGACCCUGGCGAACGUGGCCCAACAGGAUCAAAAGGAGAGGUUGGUAAUCCUGGAAUUUCUGGUGUCAAGGGUGAACCGGGACUCCCCGGAAUGAAUGGAAUAGAUGGUGAUAAAGGAGACAGCGGAUUGCCAGGAAUACCUGGCACACCCGGAUUACCUGGAAGCAAAGGACAAAAAGGAACUCAAGGUCUCAGAGGUCCUGAUGGAAGACCUGGUGAAGAUGGACCUGCAGGUCUUAAAGGUGAACCAGGUACAGCCGGUAUUCCUGGAUUGAAAGGAAANNCAGGAUCGCCUGGAAAUGAUGGUCAACGUGGCGACAAAGGCACUCCUGGUCUACCUGGCUUCAAGGGAGCUAAAGGUGAAUCUGGACGUGAUGGUCAAUCUGGUAUACCUGGUGACAAAGGAAGCACUGGCAGNNGNGGNUUCCCUGGUNCAANCGGUGUCAGGGGUGANGUUGGACCCCCUGGAGAACCNGGAAUCAAAGGAAAUAAAGGAUACUCUGAAGCAAGGGAUGGGCCACCAGGAGAAAAAGGAAAUGCAGGAUUUCCUGGUUUAAGAGGCGAAAAGGGAGAUCGAGGCCCAUCUGGUUUCNNUGGAUUACCAGGAGAUAAAGGAGAUAAAGGAGAGAUGGGAAAAGACGGAAAAGAAGGACCUCGUGGUGUUCNGGGUCCAAGGGGCGAGGCGGGUGAUAAAGGUGAUCGCGGUCUACNGGGAUNAGCCGGUCCUACCGGUAUACCGGGUGUUCCUGGUGAAGCUGGCAAAUCAGAUUUNGGUUUCUUUGUAACUCGUCAUAGUCAGACGGAUCAAGUGCCGGAUUGCCCCGGAGGUGGUGUUUCCAUGUGGGAAGGUUACAGUUUACUAUAUGUACAAGGAAAUGAGCGUGCGCAUGGACAAGAUUUGGGCAACCCUGGAUCAUGCUUACAACGUUUUACAACCAUGCCUUUUAUGUUUUGUAACAUAAAUAAUGUCUGUAACUUGGCUUCUAGAAACGAUUACAGNUACUGGCUAUCAACUACGGCUCAAAUCCCAAUGAUGCCUGUUCGAGAAGAAGAAGUCAAGAAGCAUAUCAGUAGAUGUGUUGUGUGUGAGGUUCCUUCGCACGUAAUGGCCGUUCAUAGUCAGACGNAUANANNGCCUCCAUGUCCUAAUGGUUGGGACCCAUUGUGGCAAGGUUACAGUUUUCUUAUGCAUACAAGUGCUGGUAAUGACGGUGCUGGUCAAGCGUUAGCAUCUCCAGGGUCUUGUCUAAGUGAUUUCCGCGCACAUCCUUUUAUCGAGUGCCAUGGCCGAGGUACCUGUCAAUAUUACGGUAGCACUUACAGUUUCUGGUUGGCUACCGUUACAGAAAGAGACCAGUUCCGUGUCCCGCAACCUCAAACCNUAAAAUCUGGUAAUUUAAGAGAUCGCGUGAGUCGCUGUCAAGUAUGCAUUAAGAGAGUUAAAAGGGAUACAGGCAGUCAAAUAGGCAGGUUACAGAACUAAGAAACCAAUAAAACAAACCAACCAACCAGCAAUAUUUUAGUAUUAAUGACAUUUUGAAGAUCAAAUAUUCGUGCUUGUCAUGUUCUUUACUUUAAAUACUAGAAAUGACUAGAAUAGUGUACAGUUACCUUUGUUAUCAUUAUUUUCAAAACUUUAUGAAGAAUAGCUAUGCUAGAUCGGUAAUUAAUGUACUGGCUGGCUUGGGUCCUCAUGACAAGAAGACAAAAAUAGUAGUACCUCGUUGACGAGCAAAGUAACCCUAACCACAGCAACAACUGUAACCAAAGCAACAACAGUAAAACCACAGCAGCAACAAUCGUAAACAUAGCAACAACCGUAAACAUAACAACAACUGUUAAUUGUUGUAGGAACGUAAUAAAAACAAACGCAUCAACUAAAGAUCGUCAACAACAAGUNCUAGCAGCUCAAUGAAACUGAUUUUUGAAAAUGACAAAAGCAGCAUUCAUUCCAUCUGAUAUUAAAAAAUACUACAGAUAGUUCACGAAAGGUGACAUGAAUGUUUUUCUAAUUCAAUUAGUAAUUGAAAUUCUUAAUAGAAUAAUUGUCCGAACGGUAGUGUACAGUAUAUUUGAACAUGUGGAGCGCGGGUUGUUUAUGCUCCUAAAGAAGACGUAUAUUCCCCUUUUUCAUUUUUUUCGCCAUCAUUUCUAAUUAUGACAAUUCAUGCCACGCUUUUUGGUAAGCUAUUUGAUAAAUUGAUAAAUACUUGUUAUAGUUUAUUAUAUAAAUAUGGAUAUUGUUUUUAAUCGCAUAUNAUGAGGUUUAACCGUAUACGCAUACUACACGUACGUCACCCUAAAUCAACANGAAAAAGCUUACUGACAGGUGAGGUCCGAGUAUAUUGUGUUUAUACGGUAAAUACUAUUUUCAAACAUUGNAGUUAAGAUAGAUUAGUUUCUAUAGUUUCCCGUGAUAUAUUUACUGCUACCAUUUUUUGUGUGACUGUAAGUAUUGUUUAAUUAUUUCACUCUCCAAGUCUGCAAUGGUUAGAAAAUUGCAUUUGUUGUUUUACACGCCGGNGUUAAUCGUCGAAUUAAUUCAUUUAACUUUAUUCUGUUCAAANUUCAAUUUAUAAUGACGUUUUCGGAAUCUUUUGAAAUGAAAGUUCAGGGUAAAAACUAUAUCAAGUUAAGAGAUUUGGAAAUUCUGUAAAUGAGUUCAAAACAAUGUCCAAUGACUUUCGCACGUUUGAAAAAAAAACUUGACUUUCUUAUGAGAAAAGUUCGACGUUUGACCAGGCCUUCCUAGUUAGUGUUNUGAUAUUUUAUAAUUUAGCUAGUAAUUUGUAUUGGGUAAUAUUAUCAUCAGUUUUGUUCANUAAUUUUUGCUAUAUAAACUGUAAAAGUAAAAGCUAAAUAAUUUUCAUAAACAAAAGAAAAACAAACAAAAAAAUGAAAUAAAUAGAUCUAGGUAUUGGGCUCAUAGAUUGGUAAUGACGUAGUUGAUAUAUAUCAUUAUGAUUGGGUUAUAAUUAUAAAUAAAUAGAUGUUUUUAAAAAGAA